GGCCUGGUGGUCUAGUAGUAUGAUUCCUUCUUAGGGCGUAGAACACAAUAGUUCCUCCCAAUUUGGAGGAGGUCCCGGGUUCAAUUCCCGGCCAGGCCC